AGGAGACGUCAUUAAUACUCCAAACCUUCCCCCCUGCAUUCUCAGCUGGUGGCUUAUCUCCUGUGAGAUUGAAGAACAGAGAGCUGGGAGCUAAGAGAAGUUACGGAAGGGCCCUGCUUCACAUUUCAACAAAUACCUUCUCUAGACAAUGGGAGAGUGCAUCCAUUACCAUUGGAGCACCCUUGACUGUGUGAUCAUGUCUGUAGGAGGACUCUGAAGGACUCCUUGAGGGCCCCUGGUCUGUUACACUUCUGAAGGCUGGGAUCACAAACCCUUCCAAGCCCUUUCUGAGAGUUUGGCAUUGCUGCAUUAGUGGAUUCCACCUGCUCAAAGUGUUUACAAAAGUUUACAAAAGUGUAAUUAAAUUUAAAGUGAAACGGACUACAUUGCCUUUGUCCAAGCCAAACAAAAGGCAGAAAGGCAGAAAGCAUAGAAACAGCAUAAAUAAUGACAAUAUGCUCCCACCUGCAGACAGCAACUAGAAUGAAAGACAGAGAUUUUUCAACUUAAGAAAAUGGCAUUAAAAAAAAGAGAAACACUGGAAACAUCUCUCCACCUUGAAUUACAUAGAAGUUACCGUUUGCUGUUCAACAUAUAUGGUUUCUCUGGAUGAAUAUGAAAAUACAAGUUUAUGAUCAGUCUGCUGGAGAUAAUGAUUUUGAGUAACCGUGACACUGACAGACACGAUGCCAGUUUAUGCCAAGGCUCUAGGCCUCACUGAGCACUGACAAAUGCAUAGCUGGAAGCCAGUCUGGCUUUCCUGUGGGUUAGUCUCAUUAAAAUAAACAAUGUUAUAGAAAUGUUUAGUGUUUAGACUUUAUGGAAUGCUUGUAGGACACUACAUGUAUUAAUCCUACUUAUAAUACCUGUAUCCUAUGUUAUAAAUGUUUGCUAAGACUGCAAAUCCCCCAGUCAGGGGAGAAGCAUUACCUAAUGUGAAAUACUCAUUCACCACAUGAGGUAUCAUCACCUGCCUCUCUCAGGAAGUUCUAUUGAAUCCAAAUGGGGGAUUGUGAAAUAGAGACUUUGUUGAUUCCUUCCCCUAUGGCCCUGAAGAGGGCCCAAGCACUCAUCCCAUCAUAGCUUGAACACUGAGGGAAGGGAGUUAAGGAGAACUUUGGUUUCCUACACUAUUGGGACUCUAAGGGGCAAUGAUUCCUAAACAUAAGCAAGAAUUCCCCAGGAUUAAUCUGGGUUAACCCUAAAGGAGUUCUAGAGCCGGCAUAUUUCAGAAGACUAGAACUAAUUUGUGUGUUUACAUUUUUUAACCUUGUAAAUAAGAGAGAAAUAAGAGUUAAUAGAUCCUUAAAAAUUUGUUUACUAUAAGGGUGGCUACCAAGCAUUGUCUUUGAUGUGAGAUCUAAAUGCAAAUUGACCUGGGAUAAGUGACUUGUCCUUUGGGAGUGGGAGUAACCUGAAUAUUUUGUGAUCUAUGGUGUAAAGUGACCAUCUAUCACAGAGUCAAGCUUCCCUGGAUGGCAGCAAGAUAGAUUGGAAUUCCCAAGGUGCCUGUCUGGGACUCCAUAUUAAGGCUAUAUAGUGCCUGAAGAGUUUACACUUGUUACUUGGUUGGUGAAAUCGAAGUAUAGGACUCACAACCAGUUUGGGGUUUGUGCCCUGCUUCUUAAAUGUCUGCUCUGAGAUUGGUAUUCUCAACCAAGAGCCACUCCAGACAGCAUGACAAUAAAUCAAUUAAUUCUUUUACGUUGAUUAGUACACCAGAUAGGGAUUCUGCUACAUUAAGAUUAAUGGCUCAAGCAGUAGGGAUGGUUCCUGGAUGAUUUAGUUAAUUGAUAACCAAUUGUUGACAUUCUGGAUGUCAUCAGCUAUGCAAUAUGUUACAGAUUUCUCACAGGGGGGAUGAUAAGGAGGGUCAUGCUUUUGGAGAAUGUCAACAGGUGACCUGUAUGGCUUAAGGAAAUGGAAUGAUUCUGGUUACAUCCCCUCUAGUUACAAGGCAACACACAGAAAAGCACCCUUUUGUAUUUGUGUAGAUUUCAAUCCAUUCCCACCCACCCCAGUAUUUAGGGUACAUAACAAUGAAAUGUUGCCAAUUUCCAUCAGCUGAGGACAUGGGUCACAAUAUUUUCUGCAGGCCUUAUUUUUAAACAAGAGAAAGAACAUGCCUACAAUGAUACAGAAAUAACGACACCCAAUCAGACACUCCUGGUAAUUUGAACUGCAUGAGACUAUUCUAUGGGCAAAAUAAGAGACCCCCUGUUUAGAAAUCAGAGAGGUGAUUAGCUAAUCAGUGGAGUUAAGAAGUUAUGGUAGUGUAUAUACAAAGCCCUUCAUUUUCAGUUUUUACUGAAAGAUUUCUGGGUUUUACACAAGCUAUUUUUCAGUUUUUAGUGAUUUCUCUCAAUUUUGGACCACUCGUAUGCAAGAAAAUACUGAUUGUGUAAAGAGAAAUCCACUACAUUGCAUUAGGUAGAUGUGUCUAAGAAUAAGUUGGUCCAAGUGUAAAUGCAAGAUAUCUAUUCAAGUAAGACAGUGUAGUGGAAGAUUCUCACAUAUGCAUGCAUAUGUGUACAUUCUGUUAAUGUACAAUUCAUUAAAUAAAGCACAGCAUUAAACUGCUUUUACUGUCAA